UUCUGCUAGCUACCUGCUAUAUAUCAUCACCCUUAUACAGAUAAGUACUACUGCUUAUAAUUAUUCCACUUUCUCCAUCAUCUUCUUGCUGCUUAAACGUAGCGAAUAUAUAUUACUUCAAUUCAUUUGCUCACAUCACAUCAAUUAGCUAAAAGUUUUCCCCUUUUUUCAUUUCAAAUUUGGAUACAUGUUAAUUAAAACAAGAAAUUAAUUAAGCAUCAAUUAAUUUGCUCACAUCACAUCAAUUAGCUAAAAGUUUUUCCGUCUUUUCAUUUCAAAUUUGGAUACAUGUUAAUUAACACAAGAAAUUAAUGAAGCGUCAAUUAAUUAUCGGAUCAUAUACCAUAUAUAUAUAUAUAUAUAUAUAUAUAGAGAGAGAGAGAGAGAGAGAGAGAGAGAGAGAUCAUUGCUUUGGUGCCGGAUUUUGAAGUGCCAUAACUAAUAAUUACCAUUCAUUUUAUGUUUCAUUACUAGCCGUAGUUUUGUCUUGUUCAGGCUAAAGCUAGCACUGGAGCUGGAAGGGAAAUUAAGACAGAAAAGGACUGAUGAUCGAUCGAUGUGCGCACUGCCAGGAGCUACCUCUCUACUCACUAAUGAUCGAAUUGAAUGCAUAUGUAUUGUAUUGAUCCAAGUUUUUCACCAUCUUGUCUCACCAAAGCAAACCCUAUCUCUGCUCAUUUAUCUGAUUCUGAGUAUAUAAGUGAUCUCUCUAUUAUAUACAUGCUAGCUGCAUUUAUAUGGAGUUUUUUAUUUUUUUAUAGUAAGGGGAUUUCUGUAGUAAGGAUGCACUUAUUUUCUUUAAAA
rnacentral:lncRNA from 1 species